rnacentral:rRNA from 1 species
AUUGAACGCUGGCGGCAGGCCUAACACAUGCAAGUCGAACGAGUGGCGGACGGGUGAGUAAUGUCUGGGAAACUGCCCGCUGGAGGGGGAUAACUACUGGAAACGGUAGCUAAUACCGCAUACCCUCGGAUGUGCCCAGAUGGGAUUAGCUUGUAGGGGAGGUAACGGCUCACCUAGGCGACGAUCCCUAGCUGGUCUGCGAGGAUGACCGGCGAAACUGGAACUGAGACACGGUCCAGAAGCCUACGGUAGGGAGCAGUGGGGAGUAUUGCACAAUGGGCGCAAGCCUGAUGGAGCCAUGGCGAGUGUAUGAAGAAGGCCUUCUGUUUAUAAAGUACUUUCAGCGGGGAGGCGGUACCCGCAGAAGAAGAACCGGCUAACUCCGUGCCAGCAGCCGCGGUAAUAC